GACGAACGCUGGCGGCGCGCUUAACACAUGCAAGUCGAACGGAAAGGCCUGCUUUCCCUUGUGGAUUGCGGGUACUCGAGUGGCGAACGGGUGAGUAACACGUGAGUGAUCUGCCCCCAACUUGGGUAUAAGCCUGGGAAACUGGGUCUAAUUCCCGAUAGGACUGCAGGGUGGUGCCUGUGGUGGAAAACGAUGUUCUAGUGGUUGGGGAUGAGCUCGCGGCCUAUCAGCUUGGUGGUGGGGUAAUGGCCUACCAAGGCGGCGACGGGUAGCCGGCCUGAGAGCGUGGACGGCCACAUUGGGACUGAGCGCCGGCCCAGACUCCUACGGGCGGCAGCAGUGGGGAAUAUUGCACCAUGGGCGGAAGCCUGAUGCAGCGACGCCGCGUGGGGGAUGACGGCCUUCGGGUUGUAUACUCCUUUCGACCGCGAGGAAGCCACCUGGUUGGAAGGGUGGUGACGGUAGUGGUAGAAGAAGCACCGGCUAACUACGUG
rnacentral:rRNA from 1 species